rnacentral:rRNA from 1 species
CCUACGGGAGGCAGCAGUGAGGAAUAUUGGUCAAUGGGCGCGAGGCUGAACCAGCCAAGUCGCGUGAGGGAUGAAUGUCCUAUGGAUUGUAAACCUCUUUUAUAAGGGAAUAAAGUGUGGGACGUGUCCUAUUUUGUAUGUACCUUAUGAAUAAGGAUCGGCUAACUCCGUGCCAGCAGCCGCGGUAAUACGGAGGAUCCGAGCGUUAUCCGGAUUUAUUGGGUUUAAAGGGUGCGUAGGCGGCCUUUUAAGUCAGCGGUGAAAGUGUGUGGCUCAACCGUAGAAUUGCCGUUGAAACUGGGGGGCUUGAGUAUGUUAGAGGCAGGCGGAAUGCGUGGUGUAGCGGUGAAAUGCUUAGAUAUCACGCAGAACCCCGAUUGCGAAGGCAGCAUGCC